AUCUCUUCUCGGCUUUUUGGCUAAGAUCAAGUGUAGUAUCUGUUCUUAUCAGUUCAAAAAUCUCCCUACAAACAGAAGUCCAGGGCUAGAUGGCUUCCCAGGGGCAUUCCACCAGACAUUUAAAGAAGAGUUUACACCUAUUUUUUCUCAAACUGCUCCAAAAAAUAGAAAUGGAAGAGUAACUUCCAAACUCAU
rnacentral:snRNA from 1 species